CCGAGUUCGUGCCCCCCAGCGGGGUAGAUCUCCCACCCCUGUGUAUUCUUACCUGUGUUGCUUUGGCAGGCCGCUGGGUUGCGGCCUGGCCACCGGCCUUUGGGCUGGUGCGUGCCUGCCAGAGGAUCUCCAAACUCUAGUUAUCAGUGUUGUCUGAGUAUUAUACAAUCGUUA
rnacentral:misc_RNA from 1 species